GGACGAACGCUGGCGGCGUGCCUAAUACAUGCAAGUAGAACGCUGAAGGAGGAGCUUGCUUCUCUGGAUGAGUUGCGAACGGGUGAGUAACGCGUAGGUAACCUGCCUGGUAGCGGGGGAUAACUAUUGGAAACGAUAGCUAAUACCGCAUAAUAUUGACUAUUGCAUGAUAGUCAGUUGAAAGGUGCAACUGCACCACUACCAGAUGGACCUGCGUUGUAUUAGCUAGUUGGUGGGGUAACGGCUCACCAAGGCGACGAUACAUAGCCGACCUGAGAGGGUGAUAGGCCACACUGGGACUGAGACACGGCCCAGACUCCUACGGGAGGCAGCAGUAGGGAAUCUUCGGCAAUGGACGGAAGUCUGACCGAGCAACGCCGCGUGAGUGAAGAAGGUUUUCGGAUCGUAAAGCUCUGUUGUAAGAGAAGAACGAGGGUGAGAGUGGAAAGCUCACACUGUGACGGUAUCUUACCAGAAAGGGACGGCUAACUACGUG
rnacentral:rRNA from 1 species